rnacentral:miRNA from 1 species
UUCUCAGAGUUUUAAGUACGAAUCAUCUAGAAAAUGUGUUAAUGCUGCUUCUUGUGUAUAAAUAAUCUCUUUUGAUUGGUUGCCGGUGGGGCCCAGGAAUCUGCAUUUUAGCUAGCCCCACGGUUUGUUAUUAUU